CCCUCCUCUUCACCCCUAAUUUCAUUACUUGAUGCUGAUCAUUCCUGUCUGCAGUAAAAGCUAUCUAGUGAGACAGCAGGGUUAGUAAAUGUUAUAUCAGAAUCAGAUCUCCCUCUGGCUGCACUUACUAUGCCAUGUAAGUUGCAAAGCACCUUAAAAAGAUGUUUGCAGAGAUGGAUCCUACAAGCACUCAAACCGUACAGGACUUUAGUUAGGUUUAUUUUAUUCAGUGAUUUAUUUUUUAUCAAUGUCCUUGCAACUGAUAUACUAAAAGGAUUAUAUGAAAUACAGUAACAAUUAAUACUGUUUUAUUUCACUAACAGGCAGAAGCAUAACUAGAAA